CAAUAGCGUAUAUUAAAGCUGUUGCGGUUAAAAAGCUCGUAGUUGGAUUUCUGUCAAGGACAACUGGUCCGCCCCUCGGGUGAGCACAUAGUUUGGUCUUGGCAUCUUGUCGGAAACUGUUGCUGCACUUGGUUGUGUGGCGCAGUGUCCAGCACUUUCACUUUGAGGAAAUUGGAGUGUUUCAAGCAGGCACAUGCCUUUGGACACAGUAGCAUGGAAUAAUUAGAUUGGGCUUUUGCUCCAACUUGUCGGUUUCUGGAGCUGAGGUGAGAAUUAAUGGGGAUUGUUGGGGGCAUCCGAAUUUAGCCGUCAGAGGUGAAAUUCUUGGAUCUGCUAAAGACGGACAACUGCGAAAGCGUUUGCCCAGGAUGUUUUCAUUGA
rnacentral:rRNA from 1 species